UCUAUAUGAUGAUUUAAACCAAAGGUUUCGCAAUUUUGACUGAUUACAGUUGAGGAAUUUACUCUUGGCAGUCUGAUAGA